ensembl:snoRNA
AGUGUUCCUGCACCAACUACAGAGGAGGGGGAGGCAGAGCAGACCUACCCCAUAUACACCUCUGCUCAGGCCUUGUGCUGGUCUUUGUUGUGAUUGAGGGGACAUGG